rnacentral:misc_RNA from 1 species
CCCGGGGGUCAUCAAUGUCAACCCGAGCAACGGGCCGGGGGGCCGCACGAUCACGGCCAGCGUGACCAACAACGGCACGAUCAAUGUCAACAACAGUGUGACGUUCAACAAACCAAACGGUGC